GACGAACGCUGGCGGCGUGCUUAACACAUGCAAGUCGAACGGUAAGGCCCUGCUUUUGUGGGGUGCUCGAGUGGCGAAAGGGUGAGUAACACGUGAGUAACCUGCCCUUGACUUUGGGAUAACUUCAGGAAACUGGGGCUAAUACCGGAUAGGAGCUCCUGCUGCAUGGUGUGGGUUGGAAAGUUUCGGCGGUUGGGGAUGGACUCGCGGCUUGUCAGCUUGUUGGUGGGGUAGUGGCUUACCAAGGCUUUGCCGGGUAGCCGGCCUGAGAGGGUGACCGGCCAAAUUGGGACUGAGAUACGGCCCGGACUCCUACGGAAGGCAGCAGUGGGGAAUAUUGCACGAUGGGCGGAAGCCUGAUGCGGCAGCGCCGCGUGCGGGAUGACGGCCUUCGGGAUGUAAGCCGCUUUCGCCUGUAACGAAGCGUGAGUGGCGGUAAUGGGUAAAGAAGCACCGGCUAACUACGUG
rnacentral:rRNA from 1 species